AGAGUUUGAUCCUGGCUCAGAACGAACGCUGGCGGCAUGCCUAACACAUGCAAGUCGAACGAGACCUUCGGGUCUAGUGGCGCACGGGUGCGUAACGCUGGGAAUCUGCCCUUGGGUUCGGAAUAACAGCGAGAAAUUGCUGCUAAUACCGGAUGAUGACGUAAGUCCAAAGAUUUAUCGCCCAAGGAUGAGCCCGCGUAGGAUUAGCUAGUUGGUGAGGUAAAGGCUCACCAAGGCGACGAUCCUUAGCUGGUCUGAGAGGAUGAUCAGCCACACUGGGACUGAGACACGGCCCAGACUCCUACGGGAGGCAGCAGUGGGGAAUAUUGGACAAUGAGCGAAAGCCUGAUCCAGCAAUGCCGCGUGAGUGAUGAAGGCCUUAGGGUUGUAAAGCUCUUUUACCCGGGAUGAUAAUGACAGUACCGGGAGAAUAAGCUCCGGCUAACUCCGUG
rnacentral:rRNA from 1 species